AUUGAACGCUGGCGGCAGGCCUAACACAUGCAAGUCGAGCGGCAGCGGGAAAGUAGCUUGCUACUUUUGCCGGCGAGCGGCGGACGGGUGAGUAAUGCCUGGGAAAUUGCCCAGUCGAGGGGGAUAACAGUUGGAAACGACUGCUAAUACCGCAUACGCCCUACGGGGGAAAGCAGGGGACCUUCGGGCCUUGCGCGAUUGGUUAUGCCCAGGUGGGAUUUGCUAGUUGGUGAGGUAAUGGCUCACCAAGGCGACGAUCCCUAGCUGGUCUGGGAGGAUGAUCAGCCACACGGGAACUGAGACACGGUCCAGACUCCUACGGGAGGCAGCAGUGGGGAAUAUUGCACAAUGGGGGAAACCCUGAUGCAGCCAUGCCGCGUGUGUGAAGAAGGCCUUCGGGUUGUAAAGCACUUUCAGCGAGGAGGAAAGGUUGAUGCCUAAUACGUAUCAACUGUGACGUUACUCGCAGAAGAAGCACCGGCUAACUCCGUGCCAGCCGCCGCAGUAACAC
rnacentral:rRNA from 1 species